rnacentral:rRNA from 1 species
AUUGAACGCUGGCGGCAGGCCUAACACAUGCAAGUCGAGCGGAUGAAGGGAGCUUGCUCCUGGAUUCAGCGGCGGACGGGUGAGUAAUGCCUAGGAAUCGGCCUGGUAGUGGGGGAUAACGUCCGGAAACGGGCGCUAAUACCGCAUACGUCCUGAGGGAGAAAGUGGGGGAUCUUCGGACCUCACGCUAUCAGAUGAGCCUAGGUCGGAUUAGCUAGUUGGUGGGGUAAAGGCCUACCAAGGCGACGAUCCGUAACUGGUCUGAGAGGAUGAUCAGUCACACUGGAACUGAGACACGGUCCAGACUCCUACGGGAGGCAGCAGUGGGGAAUAUUGGACAAUGGGCGAAAGCCUGAUCCAGCCAUGCCGCGUGUGUGAAGAAGGUCUUCGGAUUGUAAAGCACUUUAAGUGGGGAGGAAGGGCAGUAAGUUAAUACCUUGCUGUUUUGACGUUACCAACAGAAUAAGCACCGGCUAACUUCGUG